AUUGAACGCUGGCGGCAGGCUUAACACAUGCAAGUCGAGCGGGGGAAGGUAGCUUGCUACCGGACCUAGCGGCGGACGGGUGAGUAAUGCUUAGGAAUCUGCCUAUUAGUGGGGGACAACAUCUCGAAAGGGAUGCUAAUGCCGCAUACGUCCUACGGGAGAAAGCAGGGGAUCUUCGGACCUUGCGCUAAUAGAUGAGUCUAAGUCGGAUUAGCUAGUUGGUGGGGUAAAGGCCUACCAAGGCGACGAUCUGUAGCGGGUCUGAGAGGAUGAUCCGCCACACUGGGACUGAGACACGGCCCAGACUCCUACGGGAGGCAGCAGUGGGGAAUAUUGGACAAUGGGGGGAACCCUGAUCCAGCCAUGCCGCGUGUGUGAAGAAGGCCUUAUGGUUGUAAAGCACUUUAAGCGAGGAGGAGGCUACUCUAGUUAAUACCUGGAGAUAGUGGACGUUACUCGCAGAAUAAGCACCGGCUAACUCUGUGCCAGCAGCCGCAGUAA
rnacentral:rRNA from 1 species